rnacentral:rRNA from 1 species
UACGUAGGGGGCAAGCGUUGUCCGGAUUCAUUGGGCGUAAAGCGCGUGUAGGCGGCCAGGUAGGUCCGACGUGAAAACUGGAGGCUCAACUUCCAGCUGUCGUUGGAAACCAUCUGGCUAGAGUCCGGAAGAGGAGAGUGGAAUUCCUGGUGUAGCGGUGAAAUGCGCAGAUAUCAGGAAGAACACCCAUGGCGAAGGCAGCUCUCUGGGACGGUACUGACGCUGAGACGCGAAAGCGUGGGGAGCGAACAGG